rnacentral:tRNA from 1 species
UGUGAAAGUAGCUUAAAAGGUAUAGUAACGCCUUGAUAAGGCGCGGGAUACAGGUUCAAAUCCUGUCUUUCAU